UACGGCCACAACAAAUUUAACAACGGUUCCCGUACGAUCACAGAACUUAAGCAACGUCGAGCCUUGACAGUAUCUAGAUGGGUGACCGUUUUGGAAUAUCAGGUGCUGUAA